GAUAGAUGUCACCUUUCUUAUGAAAGUGCCAGUCAAUUUCGUCUCUCCUGUGUGCUGCCUAUCAAUUACGGGGAAGAGAAGCCUUUCAAAGCCACUGUGCUUUCUGUGCAUGGUAACCAAGUGACUGAACACAGCUCAUUGUUUCCUCUCUCUCUUUUCAGUAUCCCCAGAUCGGCGAGGAGUCGACUUCUCCAUUUGUCUUCAUUUGUUCCAACCCCCAGGAGUUGGUGGUGAAAUUUCCCAUGAAAGGGAAACACAAGAUUUGGAAACUGGAGAGCCAGAGCCACCAAAGUGCCAAGAAGUGUUUAAUGCAGCCAGCGUGACCUAAACAAAGCCACGGUGAUCAAGAGACGAGGAACAGAGAGUCCCUUUGGAAGCCUCACGUUGGCUGUGUCAUGCAACAGUGGGAAUCACCAUGUCACAUAUGGGACGUGUGGGACUAAUGGUGACAUCAGUAGCACGGCAAACGCACAAUCAUUCCCUGAUUAAAUGUUAUUGCUUUUCCUGCAAUAAAAGGCUGAAGACUA